CAAUAGCGUAUAUUAACGUUGUUGCAGUUAAAAAGCUCGUAGUUGGAUUUCUGGAGGGAGCGUCGGCCCGUAUUUACGAGUGCGUGACGUCUCUGUCCAUCCUUGCGGGAAGGCACGGCAUUGAUUUGUUGUGUCGGAUCGCAUCGUUUACUGUGAAAAAAUUAGAGUGUUCAAAGCAGGCUUUCGCUUGAAUACAUUAGCAUGGAAUAAUAAGAUAGGACUUUGGUGCUAUUUUGUUGGUUGAGCCUAAAGUAAUGAUUAAUAGGGAUAGUUGGGGGCACCUGUAUUGCGUUGUCAGAGGUGAAAUUCUUGGAUUUACGCAAGACAAACAGCUGCGAANGNGUCUGCNAAGGAUGUUUNCAUUA
rnacentral:rRNA from 1 species